rnacentral:pre_miRNA from 1 species
CGAGCUCGCCAGAUCUGGCGGCGGAGCUCGAGCUCGCCAGAUCUGGCGGCGGAGCUCGAGCUCCGCCGCCAAAUCCGGCGAGCUCC